UCUUCUCCUCCUCCUCUCCUUCCUCCUCCUCUUUCCCCACCUCCUCCCCCUCUGCCACCGCCUCCUCCUUCACCACCACCACUCCCUCCGGGGCACCCCGGUCCCCGCAGAGUCCCCGGCCCGCGCCGCCUCCGCCGCGGCCCCCUGGAUCCCGAGCCGGUGGGACGCACCGACGGACGGACGGACGGACGGACCCGCAGGCCCCUGCGCUAGCUCUCGGCCGCCGCUGCCCCCCGCGGCCCCGCGUCGGGGAAGCGGGGAUGGCCCCCGGAGCCCCGCGAGGUGGUUGCAGUCUCCAGGCCUGGCUGCAUGGCGAGGCGUCUGAACACGCAGGGGAUGCCAAGCCUUCCAGAUGAAGAGUGGAUCACAGUGCCAACCAUGUGGACGUGGAUCUCCCCCAGAUGGGCUUCAGCACAUCUGGCCCAUCUGUAGCAUUUUCUCCAUCCAGGUGAUCCAUCUUGCCUCUGCCCAGCGUGGUGGAAAACUUGAUUCUCAUUGUGUAAGCAUGAGAGUUCCAUAUUUCUGCCCCUUGCUCUGAGCCCCGCUGACUCUGAUUCAAGGGGCAGCUGCUCAGGUGUGCUGGGAACAAGAUAGGGUCUAUUUCGUUGCUCAUUUGCUGCGGGGCAUCUUGCAUGAGAGACAGUCCACUUCUAUCACUGAUGGCACCUGUAUAGAUGCUGUGCUACGCAUCCAUUACAAGGUUCUAUCUUAUCCAGUCUUCUCAGAAAUUCAUGGAAGUAUCAGUCUAUUCCCACUCUCCAGAUGUGAAAACUGAGACUUCGAAAGAAAGGGAUUCACCCCCAAGAUCUCUCUCUCUCUCUCUCUCUCUCUCUCUCUCUCUCUCUCUCUCACACACACACACACACACACACACACACACACACACACAGCUAGUAAAUGAAGGGGUUUGGAUUCUAACCCAGGGCUGUGUGAUUCCAACAACUUGUCCUCCUCCCCCUAGCCCCUGCAUCCUAACAUAAUGCUCCUCUUCUCCCCAGUGAGGAAAUCAGGAUAACACUUUGUGAGAAAAGGGAUAACACUUUGCUCUGAGUCCCCCAGUAAGUCAAUUAUCACAAAAUACAGAUCCUAGAUCCCACAUUCUCUCCGGAGCAUUUAUUCCAGAUCUGGAACAGACAAGAGAGAUGGCAUAUGGGUAGCAUAUAUGGCUUGCAGACAGCCUGCUCACACCUUGCUUCAGCCACCUUCCCACAUGCCCAGCAAGGUGGAUACUGCUGUUACUAGCCAGUUAGAGAGGCUCAGCAAAGUUGAACAACGUGUUCACUGCCCAGGCAGUUCACGCAGAGCCCUGGCACUGGCCCGGGCCAGCCCAUUCCAAGCCUCCCAGCUCCGCACACCACAUAUGGGACCAUUUAACCAACAGAGUCAGGCCUUGCAUUCUGUUGUGAAAUUGCUAGGUUGUUUUCUCUUUAAGUGUUCCUGCAAAUAUUAUUUGGGGGAUUCAAAACUUUCUCUUCAUUUAUGCCUCUCUUGUACUCAUUCCUUCUCCAUGUGUGUACCCGGCUGUGUCACAGAGCCAUCAAAGAAACAAAACAGGGAAUUGCUUCUUGUCUGUGUUCAAUGAUAUUCAGAGACGACCGUGUAUAGAUUUUACCUACACUUAUAUAUUUUGCUCUAUAAUCAUUUGCCCUAUGCUCAUCACUAAAGCUCAGAUGUAUCAUAAAAAUUCAAGUUUACGUAUGUGUGUAUUUUUCAUGAUUUUAAUGGAAUUUUUAAACCUUGCUUUAGACAGUGUUUCCUAUUUGCUAAGAUCCAAAGGGAAGAGUUUACAGGAGGAAUCCUUUGGUCAAAUGAUUCCGUAUCCAAAAGCAUAACCAAGAAUCCAUACAGGAAAUUACUUGGGAGGUCUCUAACCUGGAGGGGAUGUACCAAGUACCCUGCCACCAGGAAGAGACUUGCCAGGGAAUGGCAUAAGCCUUCAGACAGCCAGGGUUCCAUCUCCAUGCCCAUCUGAACCUCACUUCUGCACUUCUCCAGGAGCCAUGUCCUUCCAUUCCAUGGAAAAGCUUUGUCUCAUUAUUUAUUAUAAAAUUAUAUGAAUAUUUUCAUACAAGACCAGAAUGUGUGAAGAAGUAAAUAACAGCACUUGAAUUUCCCCUAGCCAGAGGCCACCACUGUCAAACAUUUGGGGAUGUUAACUUUUGACACCUUGAAAAAGAAAAGAAAUUUGAUUAUGUCUACACAUUUUCAUUAUUGCUGUUCCAGUAAAUAAAGAAAGAAAAGAAACAUG